UAUAUUUUACAAAAUAAGUCUGUCUGUACAGAGUUCACUGAUUAAGAAAUUAACCUCUGAGUAUAAUUUUAUCUACAAAAUGGAAUUACAUUAUAUGUACAGAAAUAAUGUGAAUUAUAAAAAAAUGUUAGAUAAAAUGAGGUAUGGAAUUUAAACACAUUUCUGAAUAAAAACAAGUUCAGUAACAGCUGACUGAUAUUCAAA